rnacentral:rRNA from 1 species
CAGUAGCCACGGUAAUACAGAGGGUGCGAGCGUUAAUCGGAUUUACUGGGCGUAAAGCGUGCGUAGGCGGCUUCGUAAGUCGGAUGUGAAAUCCCUGAGCUUAACUUAGGAAUUGCAUUCGAUACUGGGAAGCUAGAGUAUGGGAGAGGAUGGUAGAAUUCCAGGUGUAGCGGUGAAAUGCGUAGAGAUCUGGAGGAAUACCGAUGGCGAAGGCAGCCAUCUGGCCUAAUACUGACGCUGAGGUACGAAAGCAUGGGGAGCAAACAGGAUUAGAUACCCCGGUAGUCCCUGUCUCUUAUAC